CGGCGGACGGGUGAAUAACACGUAGGCAACCUGCCCGUAAGCUCGGGAUAACAUGGGGAAACUCAUGCUAAUACCGGAUAGGGUCUUCUCUCGCAUGAGAGGAGACGGAAAGGUGGCGCAAGCUACCACUUACGGAUGGGCCUGCGGCGCAUUAGCUAGUUGGUGGGGUAACGGCCUACCAAGGCGACGAUGCGUAGCCGACCUGAGAGGGUGACCGGCCACACUGGGACUGAGACACGGCCCAGACUCCUACGGGA
rnacentral:rRNA from 1 species